UAGGGAAUCUUCCACAAUGGACGCAAGUCUGAUGGAGCAACGCCGCGUGAGUGAAGAAGGUUUUCGGAUCGUAAAGCUCUGUUGUUGGUGAAGAGGGAUAGAGGUAGUAACUGGCCUUUAUUUGACGGUAAUCAACCAGAAAGUCACGGCUAACUACGUGCCAGCAGCCGCGGUAAUACGUAGGUGGCAAGCGUUGUCCGGAUUUAUUGGGCGUAAAGCGAGCGCAGGCGGAAGAAUAAGUCUGAUGUGAAAGCCCUCGGCUUAACCGAGGAACUGCAUCGGAAACUGUUUUUCUUGAGUGCAGAAGAGGAGAGUGGAAUUCCAUGUGUAGCGGUGGAAUGCGUAGAUAUAUGGAAGAACACCAGUGGCGAAGGCGACUCUCUGGUCUGCAACUGACGCUGAGGCUCGAAAGCAUGGGUAGCGAACAGG
rnacentral:rRNA from 1 species